rnacentral:misc_RNA from 1 species
UCUCUGGACACGCCCCCUCUAGUCAGAAUCCGUGCUAGAAACGAUGAUGUUGGUGUCGCACAUUAGACUUGUGUUUAAAUAGAGCUUUGCUCGUGAACCAAAUAUGGUGGGCUGGGUUGUCUUUGCGGAAACGCUUGGGCGACUUGUCUACGAAUUGUAAUCAUAAUAUGGGCGGCGGUGAAUCCUUUGCAGACGACUUGAAUGGGAACGGGGUACUGUAAGUGGUAGAGUAGCCUUGUUGCUACGAUCCACUGAGGUUAAGCCCUUGUUCUAAAGAUUUGUUCAACUUUGUUGGACUUUCUCUUUUCUUUUUACAUGCUGAGACCUUGAGGGCCGGGAUAGUAUCCUUUGUGCACUCGCGACAGCAUGUUACUUAGAUUCGAAAGGGUAGGCUAGCAACAACGCCUUAGUGUUUUGUUACCUUUCUCUUUUGAAUCACGAGUUAUUAUGAGCCCUGAAGGCUUAUAAGGCACUUAUUUAGCAAGCUCUAACCGUGCGCUGACUUGGAACGGUCUUUACCUUGUACUUGAUAUCGACCUUAUGGCCGAUAUCCCGUAUAUGGUAUAGCCAAGAUCCUUGAAAGGGCGAGUCAACGACUGAUUUUCUGGAUCGUUAGUGAGCCUGAGGGCCUGCCCUAAGGUUGCCAUGAUUGAAAAGUCUGAAGACGCUAAAGUCGGAAUCCUUCCUAGACCCGAUGAGCCGGGUCUCCCACAUUAGAAGUGUGUGAAAAUAGAGUUUUGCUCGUGAACCACAUCCGUGUGCUGGGUUGUAGUUGCGGAAACUAAACCGUGAGUCAUGUCCGAUUUGUAACAAUUAUAGGGGCGGUAGGGAGUCUUUUCCAGACGACGCGAAUAAAACGAGGUGGAACAAGUGCGAGAACUGAG